GAUGAACGCUGGCGGCGUGCCUAAUACAUGCAAGUCGAGCGAACGGACGAGAAGCUUGCUUCUCUGAUGUUAGCGGCGGACGGGUGAGUAACACGUGGAUAACCUACCUAUAAGACUGGGAUAACUUCGGGAAACCGGAGCUAAUACCGGAUAAUAUUUUGAACCGCAUGGUUCAAAAGUGAAAGACGGUCUUGCUGUCACUUAUAGAUGGAUCCGCGCUGCAUUAGCUAGUUGGUAAGGUAACGGCUUACCAAGGCAACGAUGCAUAGCCGACGUGAGAGGGUGAUCGGCCACACUGGAACUGUGACACGGUCCAGACUCCUACGAGAGGCAGCAGUAGGGAAUCUUCCGCAAUGCGCGAAAGCCUGACGGAGCAACGCCGCGUGAGUGAUGAAGGUCUUCGGAUCGUAAAACUCUGUUAUUAGGGAAGAACAUAUGUGUAAGUAACUGUGCACAUUUUGACGGUACCUAAUCAGAAGACCACGGCUAACUACGUG
rnacentral:rRNA from 1 species